rnacentral:rRNA from 1 species
AUUGAACGCUGGCGGAAUGCUUUACACAUGCAAGUCGAACGAUGAACCUUAGCUUGCUAAGGGGAUCAGUGGCGAACGGGUGAGUAAUGUAUCGGAACGUAUCCAAUAAUGGGGGAUAACUAGUCGAAAGAUUAGCUAAUACCGCAUACGUCCUACGGGAGAAAGCUAGGGACCUUCGGGCCUGGCGUUAAUGGAGCGGCCGAUAUCUGAUUAGCUAGUUGGUGGGGUAAAGGCUCACCAAGGCGACGAUCAGUAGCUGGUCUGAGAGGACGACCAGCCACACUGGAACUGAGACACGGUCCAGGAUACUACGGGAGGCAGCAGUGGGGAAUUUUGGACAAUGGGCGAAAGCCUGAUCCAGCCAUUCCGCGUGAGUGAAGAAGGCCUUCGGGUUGUAAAGCUCUUUCGCAAGGGAAGAAAACUUAAGCUCUAACAUAGCUUGAGGUUGACGGUACCUUGAUAAGAAGCACCGACUAACUACGUGCCAGCAGCCGCGGUAA